rnacentral:rRNA from 1 species
UACGUAGGGCGCAAGCGUUGUCCGGAAUUAUUGGGCGUAAAGAGCUCGUAGGCGGUUCGUCGCGUCGGCUGUGAAAACCCGGAGCUCAACUCCGGGCCUGCAGUCGAUACGGGCGGACUUGAGUGUUGCAGGGGAGACUGGAAUUCCUGGUGUAGCGGUGAAAUGCGCAGAUAUCAGGAGGAACACCGGUGGCGAAGGCGGGUCUCUGGGCAACUACUGACGCUGAGGAGCGAAAGCGUGGGGAGCGAACAGG